UCCUACGGGGGGCAGCAGUGGGGAAUAUUGCACAAUGGGGGGAACCCUGAUGCAGCGACGCCGCGUGGGUGAAGGAGUAUUUCGGUAUGUAAAGCCCUAUCCGCAGGGAAGAACAAUGACGGUACCUGACUAAGAAGCACCGGCUAAAUACGUGCCAGCAGCCGCGGUAAUACGUAUGGUGCAAGCGUUAUCCGGAUUUACUGGGUGUAAAGGGAGCGUAGACGGCAGCGCAAGUCUGGAGUGAAAUGCCGGGGCUCAACCCCGGAACUGCUUUGGAAACUGUGCAGCUAGAGUGCGGGAGAGGG
rnacentral:rRNA from 1 species